CUCAGUGUCCUCCAGAGUGCUCGGCCUCCUCAGUGUUCCCUCGCAGACUUCCUCUUCAUACGUCAGUAAAAGCAGACGGUAACCCAGCUGCGUAUUCGAGUGUAGGAGUGGAUGGUGGAGGUCCUUCAAAAUACCGCCAGUUUGUCCAUUGGUCCAUUAACGACCACCAGGGCGCCCUGACAGUUUACCAGGUGCGGAGAACAAUUUAAUGCUGCUCUCUAGAUCACAAAUCAUCACAACAAGAAUCCUUCACCAAACUUCUAAACUAAACAAGAAAAAACACAAUAAAUACAUGAACAAAUAACAGAUAAAUCCACAAAAAGAGGAGAAAAAAAUAAAAAGUAAAAAACAAAUUGGUAAAAAUCUGAUUUCAAAAUAAAAUAUUUAUAUAUAUCACAUAUCCAUAUUAUAGUCAUUAGUGUAAUAAUGAGUAAUGUUAUGGGUUAUGGUCAUUUUAAGAGCAAUGCCUAUACAUGACUGCAUAUAACUAUAAUAUUAUCAUAUAUGAUAUAAUUCAAUUAUUAUUAUUAUUAUUAUUAGUUUGAAUUCCAGUACUUUAUAUACACUUUUAUACACAGAUGACUCUGAUUGGUCAGAUUCUCAACUUUUUCACUAACCUUUGCUUUCUGAUGAGAUAUUGGAUCAUUUGGACAUUAAUGAAGUGACGUUUGAGGGAAAAACACUUGUUGGUUUGGUGCAAAAGGUGACUUAUCUUUUUAAUCCACAAACAUCAUCAAGAUGUAACUGUGUCUCACCACUGACAAUUUUCUCCCAAAAUGAACCAGAUAAAACAACAUAUUACAAGCGUGUCUCUGGUGCGAGUGAGUCUGUACCCGUCAUCAGGCAGCAGAGGGAGACACAGUCCAUCAUAUCUACUGUGACUCUCCACCUCCUCUGAAACACAGCACAGCAGAGAACACAUCAGGGUUGUGGGGUUUCAACGCUUUGGUUUAUUGGAUUUAAAAUGUAGCACAUGUGUAGAAACAUCACUGCAAACCAGACGUUGAUAUAUGGACAUACAGCCUUAUCAGGUGCAUGAAUCCUGAGGUGUGACGUAACAAACACAGAACCAGAGGACGUGUUUGAAAGCACCUGUGAGUGAAGCUGGACUGGAUACUAGAUGUAACAGUAGGAUGGGAGCUCACAGGUCAAACCUCAGAGUGAUGAUCCAUCUGGAAUAUUUCAAACAUUAUGUGAUGUACCUCGAGUUUCUUUAAACUUCGGCUCUGUUCACAUAUACUGAGUGUGAAUUACCAAAGAUGAACUGACAGGCAUCAGAAGACAAGAUGAAAACAAGAAACAAGGUUGAAUGAAAUAAUUAAUCAUAAAUAAAGAAUAAAGACAACUUACAGGCAUGAAACUAACGGGUACAAAAUAGAAACUCGCAUGAAAAACUUUUCAAUGGGUUGAAAAAAAAAACGUGACUUUUGAGGAUUGUAUAGUUAAUUAAAAAUGUGUUUUUACUCAGAAAACCUGCCAGACACAUCAAAAAUAUAACAUAUGAACACACUGAUGAAAUAAAAAAAACUGAAAUAAAACACUCUCCUACUCGUUGGUUAUGUAAACAAAUCUAAGACAGACACUAACUGAA